rnacentral:rRNA from 1 species
AUAUCAAUAAGCGGAGGAAAAGAAACCAACAGGGAUUGCCUCAGUAACGGCGAGUGAAGCGGCAACAGCUCAAAUUUGAAAUCUGGCUCUUUCAGGGUCCGAGUUGUAAUUUGUAGAGGAUGCUUCGGAAUGGCCCCGGUCUAAGUUCCUUGGAACAGGAUGUCAUAGAGGGUGAGAAUCCCGUAUGCGACCGGGUCGCCGGCCCAUGUGAAGCUCCUUCGACGAGUCGAGUUGUUUGGGAAUGCAGCUCUAAGUGGGUGGUAUAUUUCAUCUAAAGCUAAAUAUUGGCCAGAGACCGAUAGCGCACAAGUAGAGUGAUCGAAAGAUGAAAAGCACUUUGGAAAGAGAGUUAAACAGUACGUGAAAUUGUUGAAAGGGAAGCGUUUGCGACCAGACUUGACCGCAGUUGCUCAGCCGUGGUUCUCCACGGUGCACUCUCCUGCGGUCAGGCCAGCAUCGGUUUGGGCGGCUGGAUAAAGGUCGGGGGAAUGUAGCUCUCUUCGGAGAGAACUUAUAGCCCUCGACGCCAUGCGGCCUGCCUGGACCGAGGACCGCGCUUCGGCUAGGAUGCUGGCGUAAU